rnacentral:misc_RNA from 1 species
CGCACAUUGCGCCCUCUGGCAUUCCGGGGGGCAUGCCCGUUCGAGCGUCAUUAAAUCCAAUCAAGCCUGGCUUGGUAUUGGGCGACGGGAAGACCCCGCGCCCCAAUUUCACCGGCUGGCCGUCGCCUGUUUUAGUGUUGCGGAUGGGAAACUUCGCUAAAAUCGAGGAGCGGUCACGCUGUUAUGAUUUCACCAACGGGCUCGCUGCCUGCCUUGGCGUUGUUAAAAUUUCGUCAAGAGCAGAGCGGGUCACGCCGUGAGAUCGCAACAAAUUUCCAUCGAAAUUUGAUCAAGGUUGACCUCGGAUCGGGUAGGAAUACCCGCUGAACUUAA